rnacentral:misc_RNA from 1 species
AACGCAAGUUGCGGUUUUCUUUCGAAAACCAUGUUUGCCUGAGGGUUGUUUCACACAAAUUGAGGCGUGUCAUUUCCCAUAAAAAAGAGAUGACUCCCUUUAAAUGAUUUUGAAUUUCCCCUCCCGAUCUUUUGUGACUUGAAGAAAAAUUAAUUUUUUUUCAAAAAACGAAAUCUCUCCAUUUUUUUCUUUUAUUAGAGCAAAAAAAAAAAACUUACAUACUUAAAAACUUUUUUUUUUCUUUAUCAUUGAAAACAAAGAGAAGGAGCUCAUUAAGUACCUACCAAAAAAAAAAAAUUAAUUAAUAACGCAACCUCAGAUCAAGCAAGACUACCCGCUGAACUUAA